GUAUAUAGAAGUGUUUUUAAAUUCGGAAUUGUGGCAAACUCUGAUUGUUAUUUUACCAGUAAAAGAUCAUGAAGUGCAAAUCCGGAUACGUUGGUGAGAGCACUGCCAUUUAGCAACGCGUUUCUUCCGAGAUUAAAAAAUAGGGAAGUUUUGUUAUUGACAUAGUUUAUCGUAGGCACUCGACUUGAGAUGUAAUAAUGGAUCACGGUAUAUGUUUGCUUGUUUAAAAGGAAAGUAAGGAUGGCGUGUCUAAAUGGGCUGAUCGCAUCCUGAUUGGGACGAAACCAAACCCAACAUCAAGCAGAUAGAGAGUUACCAGAGGAUACACGAGAGGGUGUCCAAAUCUACACCAGCCACGAUGCGCAAUUAGUCUCAGAUUUUAACAGAUCGAUAAUACCAUCUAUUAAAGAUUUUAUGUCGUUCUUUCAAGAUGAAGGGGACAUCUAAAGUUCGAGGACUUUAUGAAUAGAAUAUGGAAGCUAGAUAUUCACGCCAGUGCGCGUUCUGCGUCCCAAUGGAAGGAUUGGACUUUGUUGGUGUUUUGCAGCAAUAGGGAAAUACAAUAUUCUAUUCAAAUAGAAAUCGUAAGUGAAACCAUGAAACAAUCUCACACAGCAGGACUUACCUAGAACUUCAAGUAUCACGAUAGUUAUUAAGUAAUAACAAGGAAUUAAUUCAGUAAACAUGAAAACCAGACUGCAAUGGUCCAUUGUUUCAUUUUUGUGCUGAUAUUUUCUAGGAUCCUUGGUUCCCGAGUAAUACUUUAAUUGUUUGUUUCCGUAUCGUGUGCCGUAUCGUAUUGUUAAGAUUAGUUUUUUUAAACAUUUAAAGUUGGGAUAGCCUACUAUUAUGGACAAGCUAGACCAAACAACAAGCCGUUCAUCAAAUGAGCUUUAAUGUACAAUGAAUAACGAUAUUACCAUUUUCCUUUUAAAGUCUAUUUCUAGGCUUUAACUACACAGGUGUGGACUACAUACAGUGGAGGAAAGAACUGCAGGUGCUGGUUUAAAUCGAAGAUAAACACAAAAUGAUGGAGUAAUUCAGCGGGAAUUGCGGUGAAAUGUCCUGCCUUUUGGCAGUUUUAAGUAGCUUUCCCAUGGCAAAGGAUUAGAAUUCAAUGUGAGUGCUGUCUUUAAAUUGCUUUGACGCCAGGUGGGAUUCAGACCUGACCUGUCCUGAUGGCAGCUGAUGGCUUGAAACAAGCUGGAAUCAAUAUUCACAGCGGGUGUCCUCUGCUGAUAAGACUGUCCAAGACAAUGUUCACUAUCAAAGUAGACAGCUGAGAUAUUACACUAUUAAAGAUGUUGUUUAAAAUAA